GGGUGCCGGUGAUGCAAGGGAUGCAUGUGAUGCAUGUAAUGCACACGAUGCAUGCAGUGCAGGUGAUGCAGGUAACACUCUGGCCGAGCAGGAUGCAGUAGCUGCGGUCGGAUGCUCUGCAGCCCUGCAUGGAAGGAACAAGAGGGAGCAUGGAAAGCAGCAGGGUGCAUUUUCAAUGAGCAUCUGAAGGAGGACGGGAGCUCCAGCGUGCCGGUGCUCAUGCAUAAUGGAAACAGCUGGGGAGAGGCACAGGGAUGCGCCCACGACGCCUGAUAUAAACUAGAGGCGAUGGAGAAAUAAAAAAGGGGGGGAAAAUCCCACCCCAAAGCCCGUGUACAAGGCAUUAGGGGCGAUCAGGAAGAAUCAUGCUCAGCGCCGAAUGAAGAGGCUGCGCCGAAUAUACAGGAGCUGGCUGCCUGGGGGGAUGGCUCUGUGAUCUAAGAGAGCAAUCGGAGCGACGCUGCCUCGCUCCCCGCGGAUGGGGGUUUUAUUUCUCAGCAGGUUCGGCGGUGUGGUAGGUAAAUUACGCUUCGUCGUGCUUCCUCAGGUCUUAUUUCAUGGCCCAGCGAUGAUUGUGCUACUGAUCUUCCAAAGGGGGUUGUUGUGGGCUGGAGAGGCCUUGUAAAUAAGGACGUGGAAACCUUCCAGGAGAGACAAUGGCUAAGCACACAGUAUAGGCAGUCUGUCUUAUGGCACAUAGGGUGAAAUAAAGGUGUCCUGCCCCCUUGGCGCUGGUCCCAAGCUGUGCCUCCAGCACAUACACGUACACAUGCCCAUGUUUUGCCCUAUUCCAUUCCAAGAGCUGAAAUAAAACAAGCCGGGAGCAGCAGAAGCAGACCUGGGAUCCCAAAGGGUCCUGGAUCAAACCUAAUUACUCUCCAAAUGACUUCUAAUCAGCUCUCCCUCCCUGCUCCCCGCAGCCUUGCAGCUCAAAGGAAGAAACAAAUGCAAAACAAAUCACUGGGAAACAACCCCCCCCAACUCCUCUCUCCCUCCCCCCUUCCCUGCAGGCUCAGCCAGGCUGCCUUGGUUCUGAGGUUGCAGUGCUGCUGAUUUUGGGAUGCUGGAGCAGCAGCAGUGGCUCCAUCUUCGUUUCUUCACCCCCUCUCAGCAUCCCCGUCCCCAUUUUCCUGUUCAUGCCAUUCGCUUUUGUUUGGGGCCACCAGCAGCCUCCAUCCGAAGCCACAGGUGCUGGGUUCUCCCUGGCCCAGGUUUAGCAUCCUUUGGGUUGCCAAAGGCAUCAUCCCACUUUGACCAAUGAAGAAGGGGCCCAUGGGGGUGGGGGGGGUCUGUCCUCCUGCAUGGAGACUGCAGUCUCCACAGUGCCACAGGAAGCUCUGAGGCCAGCCGUAGACAUGUCCACCCUUUCCAUUAGUUCAAAAAGGAAAUAAAACAAUAUGAAUAGAAUCCAUCAGAUGCUUUUUAUUUCCUAUUUUUCUCCAACCUCCUGUCCUGCUGCCAGCAACACAUCCAGAUCCCCCAUCCCAUGGGUGGGAUGGAGGCAGCAAGAACAGAGUGGCACAGGGACAGAGCCCACGAGGCUGGCCCUGCUCAGCACCAGUUGUAAAACACAACAUUAGCACAAAGCCCACUCGGGCGCGUUCUCUCGAUUACCUCGGAAUUAUAAUUACACCGGCCCUUAAUAUGCCCACAUCCGAGUAAUUACAGUCGACUUACAGCCUCCGGCCGCGUCUGAUAUUAACUUUUAAUCACCUCGCUCCUAUGCUGGGGAAGAGAUGGUUGUGGUGAGAGGGGUUUUGCCCUCUCAGCAUCGCCUGUGUCCCCUCUGCAUAAGGAAAAGUGCAGUGGGGAGGGAGCGAUGUGUGCCUGCUGUCCCCCCAGUGACACACUAAGCAGCUCUGGUGCUUCAGCAAAGCUCACUGGUAUGGGGAGAGGAGCCAGCCCUGGGGGUGGGAACUGAAAGCCAACCCCCUAUGCAAGGGGAGAGCUGGGGUGUAGGCACCCAGCCCAAGGCAGAACUGGAUUGUAGGGGAGGGAUGGGCAGCAAAAAGAGGGGGAAAAAACCACUCCGAUAUAAAACACUCUCCCAUGAGGACCCAUUUUAAAGGCAUUUUUAAUUAACCGUGCCUUUCGCUGGAGCUUUGCAGUGGAAUUAUUGUACAUUGAAUAAACACCGGUUGAUUAUUAAGAACAUAUUUACUGAGCCCUAAGCACGCUGCAGCUCCUGCUGUAGGGAGCUGCUUGCUUCAUGCUGGGAGCAUCUCCGCUGCCCUCCAGAAUGGUGGGAUGCCCUGGUGACACAUCACAGAGGAGCAGGAGGUUCCCUUCUUCCCUCUCCCAUUUUUGUGCUUAUUCCUCAGAGCUGAUGUGAAUGGGGACCUUGGGCUUUUCCCCCAAAGACUGAUGGAUGCAGGGAUCUGUGUGAGUCCAGGGGGAUGCUGAGCAGCCUGGUGGGGACCACAGUGCGGAAAUUAUGGCAACAGGUGGAGCAUAGUUCUCCUGAACAAAAAAAAUAAUUACUUCAGAUUUUAUGAGGACAAAAAAGCGGAAAUUAGGCAAAUAUGCAUAUAUGAAUGGGAACUCAGGUUCAAACAGGAGCAAAUAGCCAUAAGCCGGGCUCAGUUCCCAUUGCGAGAGUGUGUGAAGAGUUAACAGCAGUGAUUUCUGCCCCAAACGUGCCACGUCCCCACAUUCUCCAGGAUCUGCUCAGGAACGGGGUCAGCCUCCAGUUUGUGUCCCAAAAAGGGGCCAGGGUGGCUCUGGUCAAGGACCAGGAGGAGGCUUUGUGGCUCCCACUGCGUCCUCUUAAAAAGAAAUUCAUGGCUCCUGCCUGCCCAGGCCAUCAUUUUGUAAGGUUUAUGCACAAACCGCAUACGAGUAGACUGGAAGCAUAAAAUUAUAUAGGGCAGUUAAUUGAAAAACUGCCUGCACCACAUGCAAUAAUUGACAUUAAGUGUUGUUUGGAGCAGGAAAUCUCUUGAUAUUAAACUGCAGCGGCACUGGGGGAAGCUGCCCCAUCGUGGGUCCUGCCUUCUGCUGGGGUUGCUCCAGAUUUGGGAUGGAGACAAAGCCUGCAGGUCACUGACUCAGGAGCCAAGGUUGAACAUGCUCAUCACAUCGCCUUAUUAGCAACACCAUCAUUUAUGGACGUUUUUCCAAAGAGGAGCUAUCAAUAUAUUUAUUUUGCUGCUGAUGUAGAGCUGAGCUGCGCAUAAGACUUCACUCAGCCUUGCCAGUAUUCUAUCAGCUCUUCGAUCCAUAGGUUCUCCCCCUGUACAUAUUUAGAUCUAUCUCAGAAGAUGGCUUCUUAACCAAAAUCCCUUUCAGCUCCCUGGGAAGGCGCAGGGAGCAGCAUCCCCUUGAUUCUCCCCAGUUGGGACCAGUUGGGCUCUGGAAACGAGGAUGGGCACAGAGCAAUCACAAGGCUCCCAACAGCUCGCUUAUUUAUUUGAGCAACGACAGCUGAGCUUUAAAUAUUUAUAGUGCUUCCUAAUGUCCUAAGAAGUGUACUGUAGAAAAUAAUCUGCAAAGAGAGCGAAGCCGCUGUGAGCUCACUGCAAAUAUCAUUGUCUCUUUGCUGCUAAAUCUUUGAUGAGAGCUGGGGAAGAAGAGGGAUGUGUGUGUGCUGGGAUUGAACCCACCCGUGAGGGUUUGGCCUUCAGAGCCCUCACCUGUGGCACCAGCCCUAUGGGGACUGGGGGGGUGCCAGGGCUGGAGCACACCAUGCUUCAACGCAACAGAAAGAGGAAAGCAUUUAAUCAGCGCCUGCUUGAACUUCAAGGCUGACUUCAUGACUUCAUUGACCAUUACGGCACGCCGUAAAAGUUUAAUGGCUUUGACAAAGAGUAAAAAUAAAAAGGAAAAGGAAAUGCCCCGUGAUCCACUUUUCCACCCCUUUUAGUUCUUAGAAUAAAUCUGCAAAUAGGGAACUUAUCAUCUCUCGGUGAACGCGUCCCUUCCCCGCUGGCUCCGGGCAAUCCCCACCUGUGUGGCUGUGUCACUGCGGUGUCCCCACCUCCAUCGAUCCCCAGCGCUCCGUGGGCACACUCCGAACACAAACGAUUGCUGAUCACGGAUCAAUAGCAACAAAACAACCCUGCAGGGCAGCUUUGCGACGGGAGGCAGCUUGUUGGUAAGAACAGAAUCAGAGCUGACGUCCUGGGGAGAGGGAGGCUUUGAAGUGCACAGUGCUGCGGGGAGAGCUGGGGGGGACUGGGGCACGUGGGGGACAUUGGUCCCCGUUGGGGUUUGGGUACUCAUCCCUCACCCAGUGCAGCUGCGUAAUGAACCCGGCGAGGAACGCGGGCAAUUUUGUAGGGGAAAUAGAAAUGUAUCUAUAAUUAAUGAUCCUCCAAGAACACGCGGCCCCUUAUUAAUGUAGCGAUUUGGUGAAACAUAAUUUAUGAGGCGCUGAGCUUAAUCACUGACAAGAUCCCGAGUCAGGCGUGCGGGAAGGGAGGGAAAGGGGAGUCACCGGCUGUGAUUGUGCAUUCAGAGGACACUUGUAUCAUCCAGCACUCCUGGCAGGAACAAACCCCUCAUGAUACGGCUGGAGGGAACCUGAUGCAAGAAAGCAAACGCAAGCCAGCAGCGUGCUUGCAAACAUCCUUUCUGUGAGCUCCGUGCUCAUGAGAAAAUCGAUAGACCCAAACGUGCCCUGCCAAAAUGCUCUUCUCCAUCCAUGGAGAAUGGAUGGAAGGUGGGAAAUUCUCCUCUCCAUCCACGGAGCACGGUGGAAGGGCUUCUGGGGAGACUCAGGGCUUCCCAUAGCCCCGCAAGUGAUCCUCCUUCUCUGCAGGACACGUUUGCAGCAGGUGAGACCUUAUAUGGGGUCCUACAAGUGAACCUGGAGCUAAAUUCCCUCACACACAGAUUGCAUGGGGCCAGGCUGCAAAGUCAGACAUCCAGGGUUUACACACGGAGAUUUCUGGUGGAAUAGUGUUUCCACAUGUUUCUAUGGGAAAAACCCUUUUGCAGGGAAAAUGGAAAAUGGAAAACACUGACCUGGUUCUGAUUACCCGAGCCUGGAAACCCUCGUGCGCAUUUUGAUUUUUCAGUCUUUUUAGUGAAAAUCCUCGGCAUAUGUCAAGCAGCACACGAAGCGCGGGGCGGGGGUGGCAGUUGGUGGGGAGAUAUUCCCCGUCAGUGCUGGAAAGGGCCCAAAGCAAAACCAGCCCGAAACAGCAGUGGGUUUUGCAAAAUCAUCUUCUCAUUUCCCAUUCCAUCCCCGGCUCCGACUUUGGAUGCUCAGCACUUCUGCAAAGCGGUGCAAGCUGUGAUGCCACAUGCUCUCUGCUGAGCUACCAGAGCCCCUCUUCUUUAGCUUUUAUGAUUGGGAGCCAUUAACAAUUAAACAGCGCUCUGUUAUUUAUCUUUUGUCUUGCAAAAGAUCUUAGAGACCCCAGGCAUAAGCCAGGACCCCGGCUGCAAGCAGCAGCAUCAGUGCGCCUGCAUUUAGCAUGGCAAGCAAGAAAUCUGGUGGCAACAUUUCUCCUGUGACAGCCCCCUCCCUGCAGCAGCUCUCUGCCCGCUAUGUGGUUUAAAUUCAUUUUAGCAGUGAUUAAAAAACCCUCAUGCAUACGCAGAACGGCACACCGAGAGGUUUUUAGUGGAUGUUUCCCAGCUGAUGGCAGAGCGGUGACAGCAGCACCACGAGGUCCCUGUCCGAGCCACCAGCCCCAGACUUUGCUGUGGGUUGGGAUGGGAUGAUGGACAUCCCAUUGCGUGGAGGCGGCCACGAAACCCUUUGGGUUUGCCCCGGUGUGGGGACAGAGGAGCUGCAGGCAGGCAGAUGGACAGACAGAGCCCCACGCAGCUCUGGCCCCUUUCAGGCACCACCUCGACGCUUCCUCAAAUCAUGCUCCAGUCCGAUAAGCAUUUGCUUUAAAAUGAUAAUUGCACAGUACGGGCUAAAGCACAGCAGCCGCCGCAUGAAUAUUCAUGUGCGGAGGGACCGGCGAUGCGCUGCUUUCAAAGGGAAGCCAGUGGCACGGCUCUGAUAGCAGCUCCGUGGGAAAUGGCAUCUCUGCUCAGCCAGAAAUUUGGGGUUCUCUUGUCCCUUCUCCCCCCAGAUGCUCACAGUGCUGAGGAGCAGCCCAAGCAAGCAGCGAUGCUCUGGUCUCUGUGCUGCGUGGUGCAACCUAUAGGCACCUGUAUAGAGCCAAUUAAACCCACCCUGACUGCCACCGACCCCACCGAGGUCACUGUGACAUCCAUAAGGAAAAAGAGCCCCAAAAUCAAUUAUCCCAAACUCGGUGACGAGGCGGCAGCCCAAGCUCAGAUUUCCAAGGGGACGUGUGCGUGCCGCAGCCAGCCCCGCGCUCGCAGGGUGGUUUAAUUAGUGUGAUUUAUGUCGCCUUCCAUUGAUUGGGUCCCCGGAGCUUCGGGAAUCCAUCAGAGGGAGAACGGACGGCAUCGAUCGGUCGGUCCGAGCCCCGCGCUGGGACAACCGCGACCACAGCGGUGGUUAAUAAGCAAGAGUGAUGCUUGCAAGUGUGCUGCGUGGAAAGCAGAAGUGAGAUGGGGAUGGAGCUUGGUUGUCCCAACCCUGAAGAGAGCUCAUCCUGCACCUGAGCACAAGGAAGAACUAAGCAAUGAAAAGCAAUGAUUCGCGGUGAGAAAGCAAACUGAGCCUCCAGCAAAGCAAAAUCCUUGAGAGUGCACAAAAAUGAAGGGGUUCAGCAUCUUAGCAUGAGCAUCCGCUUGCACAGAGCAUCACGGCCCCAUUUGCUAGCAGAGAACCUUCCUGGACUGAGCUGCUCCUGCUUUGCUCCAGAGCGCUGAGCUCUUUUUCUUGCUCUUGGUUGAGUUUCUCUUCUCUCUUGAUCCUAAUAAAAACUAAGUGAAAGCGAAAUGAAGGCAAAAAGCUUUUGCAGGGCGAGGACGGAGCAAGGCAAUUAGUUUGUGCUCUUGAAAAUUAUUCACUAAUUGUGCAAGGAAUUGUGUACAAAAAGGGAACUAAUAAAAGAGAUUUAAUUUGAUGCUGGGAAGGGAACGAGAGCGGAACGAGCAGCAGAACGCGGCUGAGUGCUAAUGGGCUCUGCUCGGCGUGUCCCCGAGCAGGUACCGCUCGACAGACGUGCAAUUGAAUCUGGAGGCUUUGGGGACAGUGCUCAGAGCAAAUUACCCAUGACGGCGCGAUUGCUUUCUCCCCAAGGACGGGAUCAUUGCUGGGGAGAGCACUGCGUCCCGGGCAGCGGUGCCGCAUUGCUCUGGGUAUGGUGGGCAAUGCCCUCAUUUUGAAGAUGGGGACACUGAGGCAUGCAGCUCUGUCUCCCUAUGGGGUAUCCCUGACCCAAAGAUCCCCAAAUGUCCCUUGAAUGCACUGGGAACUGCAGAGAAGCCAGAUCUGGUGCGGCUGGCAUGAGGCCAUGGUGCCAGCGGUCUCGCCCCUGGCGCCAGCUCGUUCUGCAGCGUUUCCUUGGCUCUGCAAGGAGAAGGGAAAGGAAAAACUUCAGUAAGGGAAUGAAAUGCCUGAGGGGAACCUGAAGGCCCCUUCGGCAACAAGCUGUGAGACAGAGGCUGAGCAAAAGCAGAAAGCUGGGCUUUUUGUGGGAAGCGUUCCGAGAGCGAGUGCGGUGCUGUUGGGAAGAGGAGGGCUUGGAGGUAUCACAGCGGUGGGUGUUGUUUGGGAGAUCAGUGCCAGCCCUCUGUGAUGUGUCCCCAGCACCCUCAGGCAUCUGGAGGGCCGUCAGCCCCACAGGUCCCAGCCCAAAGCCAGCAUCUCUUUUUGGCACCAAACAAGCCAGCUGCUCCAUCUGAGAGCACAUCUGUAUUUCUCCUUUGUUGUUAGCGAUCCCCUCCAAAGCUCUGGCAGAACUGCUGGGGAUUUUGCAUCAAUCCUACAAAAAAAGCCUCCCUCGGUGCCUCUUCUUUUUCCUCAAAUAGUCAGGGAAAUGCUUUCAGACAGCAUUGCUGGACCACGAGCACAAGGGAGCAUAAAUUUGGCAGUGCAUCUGGAUGGCACAGGACAGCAAGCAAGCGGCUGUUGGAAGACAGGUGUCUGCACCCCAGGAAACAGCCUGCAAAGCCCAGAAGGGAUGGAGACGUCUCUUGAGAAACACAGAGAAUUAGAAAGAGUUGAGAUCAAUAAAAAUGUUUCAUCUCCACUCUUCCUGAUGGACAGGAGCGCGUGGGGAGGGCUGCGUGAUGGAUGGGUGUAUCUGAAGGCAGCUGGAUGAACAGGGAGCCCUAAAUGAGACUGGAUGCAUUUCGGGGGAUUGUUUUGUUUUGAUGACUGCUUUGGUUCCUCUCCCUGCAUACCCUCUGGGCCCACACCCAGGGAUGCAUCUCCGGGGCUUGCAGGGAGCAGCAGAGCUUCUCUGGGUGCCCACAGCCCCAGGGAUGGGAGCUGCAGGGAGGGGACGGCUGCAGCCCCGUUAUCGUCCUGUAUCUCUUUGACAGGUCCGAUGACAUUUAUGGUUCUGAAAGCUUCAAUAAAAAGCACUUUAGCCACAACCUAAUUUCCAGUCAAAUUCCACCACCUUCCCCCCUCCUGGAUUAAAAUCAAGGCUUGGCUUGCUGACAGCCCAUCAGGCACAUCCCUGCCCGAUGUGCAUCUCACACUCGGAAUCCAAGGACAAAAAAUUUGCUAAAUGACUCGAAAAUGACACAGAGAAAGAAAACUGCGGCUGGACGCUGACAUCCCUGCAGCAGUGACAGCAUCCCUGGCUCUGUGCAAAGGGGAGAUGUUCCAUGGAUCUUCCAUGGGUCUCCCAUGGGUAUUCCAUGGGUAGUCCAUAGACAUUCCAUGGGUAUUCCAUGGGUCUUCCAUAGAUAUUCCAUGGGUUUUCCACAGAUUUUUCAUGGGCCCUCCAUUGCAUGGGUCUCCCAUAGGUCUUCUGUGGGUAUUCAAUAGAUAUUCCACAGGUCUUCCAUGAGUCUCCCAUGGUAUUCCAUGGAUAUUCCAUAGGUAUUUCAUGGGCCUUCCAUAGAUACUCCAUGGGUAUUCCAUGGGUCUCCCAAGGGUAUUCCAUGGGUAGUCCAUAGACAUUCCAUGGGUCUUCCACAGGUAUUCCAUAGAUAUUCCAUGGGUCUUCCAUAGAUAUUCCAUAGAUAUUUCAUGGGCCUUCCAUAGCAUGUGUCUUUCAUGAAUCUCCCAUGGGUAUUUCAUGGGUAUUCCGUAGAUAUUUCAUAGGCCUUCCAUAGAUAUUCCAUGGGUCUCCCAUGGGUCUCCCAUGGAUCUUCCAUGGGUAUUUCAUAGACAUUCUAUGGGUCUUCCAUAGGUCUUCCAUGGCUCUUCUGUAGAUAUUCCAUGGGUCUUCUGUAGGUUUUUCAUGGCUCUUCAGUAGUUCUUCCUUGAGUAUUUCAUGGGGUUCCCCACAUAUGAAUGUUUGGAUCUGUGUGGCACAGCUCUGGAUGCAGAGCUGGGAUCUUCCAGCUCCGUCCAACCUCUGCUAUCACCACACACUCCAACAUCUGGAUGUCAUCAGAAUGAAACAGUUUACACUCGAGUGCAGCAAAUGUUUGGACAGCGCUGAAACAAAAUGAUACGACGUUACGGAAAUACCGCUACAGGAUUUUGAUCAGAUUGGGAUUAUAAAAUAAAAGAAAUAAAAUAAAAUAUAAAUAAUUAUAGGAACGUCUCCAGGUUUCCAAAGGGAAAAGCACUGGUUCAGCAGUGAUGCUCAUACUGUCAGUGAAGGAAAGGGAUUUUUAAAACCAGUCUCCCACUGGCUUUGUGAUUUGUAGUGGCAUUUAUGCUCCACUUUUCAGGGCUCUCUUUCAGCUCCGGAUCCAGCUCUGACCUUCUGCUCCUGCACCGCUCUGAAGGCAAAGAGCAGAGAACAGCCCCGAACCACCCAGCUGGAACUGGGGGGGGAAAGGGAAGGAAACACGCAGAGGCUCCUCCAGAUUUUCCAUAAGGGAAAGCAGAGGGCUCAGCUCCCACGCCAGCAGUGCUAAGUGAAUGCCAAACACCAGCAGAGCGGCACUUUAUUUUCACUUUGCUCAGGUCUAAGUGACUGCAGAGCAAUGGGAAACGAGGCCCCUGAGCCCCGGGGGCAGCACUCGCCCGCCCGCAUUUGCUAUCCACAGCACAAUAAGCCACAACACGGGAUUAAUCUCAGCCCUGCAUUAUUCAGGCUCGUUGCUCGGGAGAGUCCUGCCAGGUUGAGGCUCAGUGCAUCUCAUUUCUGCGCUUUGCCACUCGCCGUAGUAUCAAAGGUCCUUAUUUAAUGGUCGCUGCAAUUUUAUGCAGACAAAUUGCCUUUGAACUCAAGGGCUGUAAGCGAGGCUGUGGGUGUCGCUGGGUUGGAAGUUUUGAGUCCUCAGGCAUAGAACUAAUCACAAAAUCCCAAAAUCCUCUCUUCCCUAUGACUCUCUAUAGCCUCCAAAGCUCCAUUGUGCUCUCCCUUCCUCUGCUUUUUUUAGGAGGCUGAUGAGAUGGUCUGAAAUAUUUGGCUUGUCUCAAGGCGACUCUGCUGGCCCGUGGCUCACACGUGGCCAUAGGUCCUCAGGCUGGAUCGAGCCCUGUGAUCUGACACUGCUGGCAUGUGCAAUGCAUGCUCAUGGCUGGGACAGGACACAGAGGGCAGGAGCUGGAGCUAGGUACAGAUAUCUGUACCACCACUGCACAUUCCCCUGGAAGGGUUAGAAGUGGGCACAAAGGGCUGAGCAUCCUAUGGGGCACCCUCAAGAAGGGAAAUGUAGUGGAAAUGCUAAGUCAGGGCUUGAAGCAGUGAUGGAGCACCUGGUGGGAAGGCAGGGCCAACCCAGGGAAGCUCAGGUGCAUGCAAUGACCUGAGUGAUGGAAGGGACGGAGCCAGGAUCCACCCCUUCCCAGACCUCAUUUAAGGGUUGGCAGUGGAGAUGAGGAGAUCUUGCUGGAGAUUCCUUUUUUCCAUGAGGCCUUUUGAAGGGAAACAGAGCAGAAAGGAGAUGGAUGCAUGGGGUUCUCAUGUCCUUGCCCCCAGACCACAACCUCUUCCCCCUGAAUGCAGUAGGGUCUCAACCACUGCUGGGGGAACUUCACCAUGUGAAGCUACUGAAGGAAUCACAUCCAGAUGCACUUCCCCCAUCACGCUGCUUCCUCUCCUCCCUUCUAUCUGCCCUUUGGUUCUCUGCCCCUUUUCCCUCUCCAGAGCGUGCUGGGAGCUGGAAGGAAGGCAGGACUGGAGUCAGCAUGUGCUGCCCUUCCCCAAAAUGAGGAUAGUUGGAGCACCCCAUCCAGCAGCGAGGUGGGCAGCUCUGCUACCCCUAAAAAACAAGAAGAGGAAAUGAUGGCGUGGAUAAAAGCAGCAAGCACGGAGCAGCUGGGAGCCGGUGCGGGGCUGCGCUAAUGACGGCUGAUUUCGCGUUAGCACAACUGCCUUUGGUUCGCAGACAGAAAUAUGCUGAAGCAGAGGCUUUUGUCAAACCGGGGCCAAAACACAUCUGUGAAUAAUUGAACAAUAUUCAUGUCGGAAGAGUCAGCAGUUUGUCACUGGCUUCCUCCGCGUGCUUGGAGGACGGGAACAGCUUUCUGCAAGCAAGAGGAAGGAGGUGAAGGCAGCUCCAGCAGUACGUCAGCAGCCUGAGAGUGUGCAGAAGUGAUGCUGAGACCUCCUGGGUGCAUGUACAGCUUAUUUCUGCCCCACGUUUCUGCUGUCCUGUGAGUGGGCAGGAGGGAAUCCACGAGGAGAGGACUGCGGAGGCAGCUCCCCAGCCCUGCAUCACUUCUCUCCCCUCCAGCAGGCAGCUGGCCCUGUUAACGAGGGCCUUUGGAAUUUGAUUGGUGAUGGGGUGACCUGCAGGAACAUCUCCAUUGAUUGCACUCAGUGCCCGCUGUUGGUAUUUAGGGACUGGUAGCACUGCUCCAUCCCCUGCAGCCUCCGGGGUUCUCCUGUUGAUCCCACAUCCAGGAGGAGCAGCACAGCCACGCUGGGCUUUGUGUGCAGCACCAAGCUGCCUGCAGUAGCAACCCCGAGCGCUUGCAAACUGGGAAACCAGUGUUGUUGUAAGGAAAGCGAUGGGAGGGGAUCAAAAGAAUUUGCAGCAAAACCACAAAACAUCUCAUCUUUUAAAGAAUUCCCACCCUCGUUUGUAAAACAGAGCUUGGCCUACAAAACAACACCAGCAACACUGUUCUUGCUGCCGUGCUUUCAGCUGAGGGAGAAAGAAAUCAGCUUUCCCACUGCAGCCUCUGGCCCU